UACGUAGGGCGCAAGCGUUAUCCGGAAUUAUUGGGCGUAAAGAGCUCGUAGGCGGUUUGUCGCGUCUGUCGUGAAAGUCCGGGGCUCAACUCCGGAUCUGCGGUGGGUACGGGCAGACUAGAGUGAUGUAGGGGAGACUGGAAUUCCUGGUGUAGCGGUGAAAUGCGCAGAUAUCAGGAGGAACACCGAUGGCGAAGGCAGGUCUCUGGGCAUUAACUGACGCUGAGGAGCUAAAGCAUGGGGAGCGAACAGG
rnacentral:rRNA from 1 species